CCUGGAGGUCCGAGUGAGCAAUCAGAACCAGGCACCCCAGUGCACAAGCCACACCAAAGAGGCAAGAACAGCAAAGAGAAAGACAGCAGGGAACCACGUUGCCCAAAGGGCCACAGUUUGCUUCGAGAAGCCUUCGGACAGGGGUGGGAGGAGGGUCACACUGGAAGCUGACUCCUCAGAACCAGUGGGAAGCUGCCUAGUGUCCUGGUCUUGGCCAAGUCAAGGCAGCUGGUGUCCAUUACAUCGGCUUUGAUUUAUAGUCAAGCCCACAGGCCCUCAGCUCACAACAUUGUGACCUAAGACAGCAGCUUUCUCUUUAGUACCCUGGCACCUGGGUACAGUCACAUGCCUCCAGGUCCUGCUGUCAGUGGUUCUUGGCUGACGCUAGUUCUCAGGGAGUGAGCAGGUGCUGUGUGGGUCCUCCUGAGUCUGCCCAAGGGACACCCCAACCUCUGCCUCGCCCUCAGUGGCUGUCUUGCUGAGUAACUUUUGCUUUCUUUUUAGCAGGAAGAAACCCACAUGGGAAUCCCCAACAAUCACAGUGACUCACCCAUUUCCCAGCCAGAAGAGAUGACUCAGGAGUUAAGAGCUCUCUCAGAGUUCUGAAGUUUGGUUUGGGUCCCAGCUCACAAGAGCCUGUAACUUUUUUUUUUUUUUUAAGAUUUAUUUAUUUAUUUUAUGAGUACACUGUAGCUGUCUUCAGACACACAUCAGAAGAGGGCAUCCGAUCCCAUUACAGAUGGUUGUGAGCCAUCAUGUAGUUACUGGGAAUUGAACUCAGGACCUCUGGAAGAGCUGUCGGUACUCUUAGCCACUAAACCAUCUCUUCAGCCCUGAGCCUAUAACUUUUGCUCUAAGGGAUACAAUGGCCUCUUUGUAUGGAAUCCCUGGAUACUUCACUCAUGUGCACAGACAUACAUACUUAUAAUUUUUUUAAAAUACCUUUUUAACAGGACUGCAGAGAUGAGAAUAGACAAUUGUCAG
rnacentral:lncRNA from 1 species